UGACUACAACCCAAAAGUCCUCUUAGAAUCUAAAUGAGAAUUUUCAAGCAAGAAGUAUUCGUAUAAUCCCGAGGACCCGGCCUAGCGAAUCUGCGGAUCUCGCUGGAGGCGGGCCCAAUGCGCCGCGCGCGAAGGGGCGUGGCCAGAGUGCGGAGCCCGGCGGUGCGAGGCGCUUCCUGUGGGACUCGCGAACCCGGGCGGCGGGACGGGCGCUCACCGGGAGGAGAGCUUCCGCCGGCGCAGCACCGGUGAUUCAGGCCGUUGUUGAGCCUCUCACGUAACGGACGGAGCGUUUCCUUCCCGUUAUUUCGCUUGGCCUUUAAAAAAUAUCCAUUUGACAGAACCACAGGAUCUUGCCGCUAGGGCUGAAGUCGCCCUCCAGCGGAAUCCGGUGUGACCACAGGCACCCUGGCCUCUGGGAAAGUGGAUGAUGCCCCGAGCUCCUGACGUCUCUACAACUGUCCCUCGCAGUAUAACCUUAUACAAGCCAUUGACCGACCGCUCUUUUCAAAUAAAAAAUUCUGGCCCGGGGAUUUAGCUCAGUGGUUUCUAGCCUGCUGCGCAAGCUGAAGGACCCGAGUUCGAUCCCCGGAACCAAAAAAACCCAAACAAAUUAAAAAUUCUUCCUCCAUGGAUGGUAAUUGCAGGGACGCAGGACUUAUGGAAGACACCAGAACAGUGCAACAAAAGGCCCUUGGAGCCGGGUUUACGCAAAUUCACCGUUUUAAUGAAUAAAGGGACGAAGGGGAUUUGUCCAAAGUUUCCCACCACAAGAACAGAUGGCAGGAUUAGGACUCUUGAAAAUUAUGAAAAUGAGGCCGAAAAAA